GGAUGUUGUAAAGAAAGCGUGUAACCUACAGUGAUGAUAGUGUAAAGUGUAAACGAACCCGAAGACAAGGCCGGCUCCUUUACAAGCCCUGUUCUGUUUCACUGCCACCAAUUCUCUUUCUUUCUUUCUUUCUUUUCUUUUCUCUUUCUCACAUCACCACCAAGCAAUAUCCCUCACACAAGAGUGCUUGUCUUGUUUAUAUUUAAUCCUCUCUGUUAU
rnacentral:misc_RNA from 1 species